rnacentral:rRNA from 1 species
GAUGAACGCUAGCUACAGGCUUAACACAUGCAAGUCGAGGGACCGGCGCACGGGUGAGUAACACGUAUCCAACCUGCCCUUUACUCGGGGAUAGCCUUUCGAAAGAAAGAUAAAUACCCGAUAUAAAGGUUGGGGAUGCGUUCCAUUAGGUUGUUGGUGUGGUAACGGCUCACCAAGGCUUCGAUGGAUAGGGGUUCUGAGUGGAGGGGCCCCCACAUUGGAACUGGGAACCGUUCCAAACUGCUACGGGAGGCAGCAGUGCGGGAGAUAGUGCAAGGGACGAUAGCCUGAACCAGCCAAGUAGCGUGAAGGAUGAAGGCGUGUGGGUCGUAAACUUCUUUUAUAUAAGAAUAUGUAUUAUAUGAAUAAGGAUCGGCUAACUCCGUGCCAGCAGCCGCGGUAAUAC